CGUGUGAAGUCAUAAAAGGCUGGGAACUACCCAGCUCAGUGCUCAGGAAGUAGAGGCAUGUCUUCUGCCUGAGGACACACCAGGAGGCCAUUUAUCCCAUGGAACUUGGGACCCUCCAGGGAACCACAAACUUCUUGAGGGAAGACUGUUUUGCACAUCUUUGAAUCACUGAAACCAAGGAUGGGGCCCCAAAUGAGAUCAAUCUUAAAGAAAUGGCUACUGAAUAAAACUUCCCAAGUCCUAAGGACGCAUCUCCAGACAAUGAGUACAUCUCUAGAAGCAUGUCGCUGGUUUCAUUCUACAUCAGGACCCAAGAUGGCGUUUGGUUCCAAAAGGACUCCUCUGUGUGUGAGGAACUGUUCUGCAAUCUCCUGGUGUGUUGAUCACGCAAGAAAAGUUGGCAGAACCAAGUUUAUUAACCCUAAAUUUACCUAGCUCAUCUCACCCCCACUUCAAGAAAGAGGACACCAAGAUAAGAGGAACUAAAGUCAUUUUCAAGAUUUGUGGGAACAUCUGCUUGCCAGCUUUUUACAACACAAGCUCCAGGCCCUCUCCCCACAGUGGUGCUUGGCAUUCUCCAGUCAUCGUCCCAACUCUGGUCACCUGGAUUCUAGGAAAAGCAGCCUCAGAUGACUGAGAGUGCUCCAAACAAAUACAGUCAUCUGCAGGAACAGAAUCAGAAAUCGGAACUGAGAAAAAUGACUGUUUGGAUCCCGGCCCUCCAUGGUAGCCCAUAAAACAGGUCUCCAUUCUUUUGUGGAUGGACCAGGCUGAUCUUCUUCGUCACAGUGCCUCCCCUCCUCUAGCUACUACUCAAGCUGGGGCCCCUUCCCUUAUAAUCUCUUACUUUGCAAUUAAAGCUUUUGCCGGUCAAUUCACAGUCACUUUAGUUUUGAUUUCCAUUAUCACUAAAGUGAGCACCCACAGUGCCUGGGGACAUUAGGUUUGAUCAAGUUCUGGGGUGCAUGGAAUCACCCACGAGCCCGCGCUUCAGUAACUGUCCUGGAGAGUCUUUGCAGGUAUCACUUGAGCAUGCUGUGUCAACACCUGACUAAACUGGAUCGCCCCUUCUUGGCCUGAGGCCUGGCUUAGCAAUCACCACUUAGAGGGGGACUCUGUCAGUUUCUGGCACAGAUCAUCCCUGCCUGCUGGGCCUCUUUGAAGGGAGGAUGUAAUUCAUUUUGUCAACAUGAUGAGUACCAAGAGGAUGGGCACAGAGUACAACAAGGUGCCACUUCCAGCCCUGCCCAGGGCCACCACCCUCUUAACUGCCCCAGGUGCCUUCCCACUCUGUGCUCUGACUCCUCCCCCACCCUACUUCUCUGCCUCCAGCUUUUCAUUGAACUUCCCCGGCUUUCUGUUGACAUUAUAGAGGCCCCGUGUGUGCUCAGAUUCCAAAUUGCCCCAGUAGCUGGAUGGGCUGUCAGCUGUGGUUUAUGGUGACCCAUAGGAGGUGACAAACCCAGGCACCUCAGGUCUGCUAGAGCUGGGCCCCAUCGAAAAGACGACCCACAGAAAAGCCAGCAGUGGACAGCAGGGUCCACAGGAAGCUGCACCUCUGUCCCUGGGCUGGCCAGAGAGUAGCUGCGUGGCUGUGGAAACUGAAAGGCUGUGAAGAGGGACCAAGGUUGACCCCAGCUAGAAAGGCAGAGGCAGGAGAAAGAGGAAGCAUGGAGCAAUGUCUGAAAUGCAGAAACCAGGGAAACAGGGCCUCUGUUCAUCUGCAGGUGCCUCAUAUUCACUGCCAUCAACUCAGCAUUUCUUGUGAACAUGAAGCUGCCCACAAGGUAGACAGCAAGAGGCUCCAGCUGCUAGGAGAAGAAGUUUAAGACCCUGGUGGGACCCAGCCAGGACCCUGGUAGGACACAGUCAGAAACAGCUGAAUAGACUGCAAACCACCUUCCAUGCAUCCUUGGAAGUAUGGACAACAGAAACACC
rnacentral:lncRNA from 1 species